AUACGUAGGGUGCGAGCGUUGUCCGGAAUUACUGGGUGUAAAGGGAGCGUAGGCGGGAUGGCAAGUCAGAUGUGAAAACUAUGGGCUCAACCCAUAGACUGCAUUUGAAACUGUUGUUCUUGAGUGAAGUAGAGGUAAGCGGAAUUCCUGGAGUAGCGGUGAAAUGCGUAGAUAUCAGGAGGAACAUCGGUGGCGAAGGCGGCUUACUGGGCUUUUACUGACGCUGAGGCUCGAAAGCGUGGGGAGCAAACAGGAUUAGAUACCCUGGUAGUCCACGCUGUAAACGAUGAUUACUAGGUGUGGGGGGACUGACCCCUUCCGUGCCGCAGUUAACACAAUAAGUAAUCCACCUGGGGAGUACGGCCGCAAGGUUGAAACUCAAAUGAAUUGACGGGG
rnacentral:rRNA from 1 species